rnacentral:rRNA from 1 species
UACGGAGGGGGCUAGCGUUGUUCGGAAUUACUGGGCGUAAAGCGCACGUAGGCGGCUUUGUAAGUUAGAGGUGAAAGCCCGGGGCUCAACUCCGGAAUUGCCUUUAAGACUGCAUCGCUAGAAUUGUGGAGAGGUAAGUGGAAUUCCGAGUGUAGAGGUAGAAAUUCGUAGAUAUUCGGAAGAACACCAGUGGCGAAGGCGACACACUGGGCCAUUACUGACGACUGAGGCACGGAAAGCGAUGGGGGAGCAAACA